rnacentral:rRNA from 1 species
GUGAGGAAUUUUCCGCAAUGGGCGAAAGCCUGACGGAGCAAUGCCGCGUGAAGGAUGAAGGCCUAUGGGUUGUAAACUUCUUUUCUCAGAAAAGAAUUAUGACGGUAUCUGAGGAAUAAGCAUCGGCUAACUCUGUGCCAGCAGCCGCGGUAAGACAGAGGAUGCAAGCGUUAUCCGGAAUGAUUGGGCGUAAAGCGUCUGUAGGUUGUUUAAAAAGUAUUCUGUCAAAGAUUAGGGCUUAACCCUAGAUAGGCAGAAUAAACUUUUAAGCUAGAGUUUGGUAGAGGCAGAGGGAAUUCCCGGUGGAGCGGUGAAAUGCGUAGAUAUCGGGAGGAACACCAAAGGCGAAGGCACUCUGCUGGGCCAAUACUAACACUGAGAGACGAAAGUGAGGGGAGCAAAUGGGAUUAGAAACCCCAGUAGUCC